UUCUUCGGAUGAAGAUCUUGGUGACUGAGUGGCGGACGGGUGAGUAACGCGUGGGUAACCUGCCUCAUACAGGGGGAUAACAGUUAGAAAUGACUGCUAAUACCGCAUAAGACCACAGCACCGCAUGGUGCAGGGGCAAAAACUCCGGUGGUAUGAGAUGGACCCGCGUCUGAUUAGGUAGUUGGUGGGGUAACGGCCUACCAAGCCGACGAUCAGUAGCCGACCUGAGAGGGUGACCGGCCACAUUGGGACUGAGACACGGCCCAAACUCCUACGGGAGGCAGCAGUGGGGAAUAUUGCACAAUGGGGGAAACCCUGAUGCAGCGACGCCGCGUGAGCGAUGAAGUAUUUCGGUAUGUAAAGCUCUAUCAGCAGGGAAGAAAAUGACGGUACCUGACUAAGAAGCACCGGCUAAAUACGUGCCAGCAGCCGCGGUAAUACGUAUGGUGCAAGCGUUAUCCGGAUUUACUGGGUGUAAAGGGAGCGUAGACGGAGUGGCAAGUCUGAUGUGAAAACCCGGGGCUCAACCCCGGGACUGCAUUGGAAACUGUCAAUCUAGAGUACCGGAGAGGUAAGCGGAAUUCCUAGUGUAGCGGUGAAAAUGCGUAGAUAUUAGGAGGAACACCAGUGGCGAAGGCGGCUUACUGGACGGUAACUGACGUUGAGG
rnacentral:rRNA from 1 species